CAGUCGCCGCGGGAAUACAGAGGGUGCGAGCGUUAAUCGGAUUUACUGGGCGUAAAGCGUGCGUAGGCGGCUUUUUAAGUCGGAUGUGAAAUCCCUGAGCUUAACUUAGGAAUUGCAUUCGAUACUGGGAAGCUAGAGUAUGGGAGAGGAUGGUAGAAUUCCAGGUGUAGCGGUGAAAUGCGUAGAGAUCUGGAGGAAUACCGAUGGCGAAGGCAGCCAUCUGGACUAAUACUGACGCUGAGGUACGAAAGCAUGGGGAGCAAACAGGAUUAGAUACCCCCGUAGUCCCUGUCUCUUAUAC
rnacentral:rRNA from 1 species